rnacentral:rRNA from 1 species
GCCUGAUCCAGCCAUGCCGCGUGAGUGAUGAAGGCCUUAGGGUUGUAAAGCUCUUUUAUCCGGGACGAUAAUGACGGUACCGGAGGAAUAAGCCCCGGCUAACUUCGUGCCAGCAGCCGCGGUAAUACGAAGGGGGCUAGCGUUGCUCGGAAUCACUGGGCGUAAAGGGCGCGUAGGCGGUCUUUUAAGUCGGGGGUGAAAGCCUGUGGCUCAACCACAGAAUUGCCUUCGAUACUGGGAGACUUGAGUUCGGAAGAGGUUGGUGGAACUGCGAGUGUAGAGGUGAAAUUCGUAGAUAUUCGCAAGAACACCGGUGGCGAAGGCGGCCAACUGGUCCGACACUGACGCUGAGGCGCGAAAGCGUGGGGAGCAAACGGGAUUAAAUACCCGGGUAGUCCACGCCUUAAACGAU